rnacentral:rRNA from 1 species
UGCCAGACUCCUACGGGAGGCAGCAGUGAGGAAUAUUGGUCAAUGGGCGGGAGCCUGAACCAGCCAAGUCGCGUGAGGGAAGACGGUCCUAUGGAUUGUAAACCUCUUUUGUCGGGGAGCAAAAGACGCCACGUGUGGCGUUCCGAGAGUACCCGAAGAAAAAGCAUCGGCUAACUCCGUGCCAGCAGCCGCGGUAAUACGGAGGAUGCGAGCGUUAUCCGGAUUUAUUGGGUUUAAAGGGUGCGCAGGCGGAGGUGCAAGUCAGCGGUCAAAUUGCGGGGCUCAACCCCGUACUGCCGUUGAAACUGCAUCCCUUGAGUGCGCGAGAAGUAUGCGGAAUGCGUGGUGUAGCGGUGAAAUGCAUAGAUAUCACGCAGAACUCCGAUUGCGAAGGCAGCAUACCGGCGCGCAACUGACGCUCAUGCACGAAAGCGUGGGUAUCGAACAGGAUUAGAUACCCUUGUA